UUUAGUAGGGAAGAAGCGAAAGUCGACGGUACCUGCAGAAAAAGCACCGGCUAACUACGUGCCAGCAGCCGCGGUAAUACGUAGGGUGCAAGCGUUGUCCGGAAUUAUUGGGCGUAAAGAGCUCGUAGGCGGUUUGUCGCGUCUGCUGUGAAAUCCCGAGGCUCAACCUCGGGCUUGCAGUGGGUACGGGCAGACUAGAGUGCGGUAGGGGAGAUUGGAAUUCCUGGUGUAGCGGUGGAAUGCGCAGAUAUCAGGAGGAACACCGAUGGCGAAGGCAGAUCUCUGGGCCGUAACUGACGCUGAGGAGCGAAAGCAUGGGGAGCGAACAGGAUUAGAUACCCUGGUAGUCCAUGCCGUAAACGUUGGGCGCUAGAUGUAGGGACCUUUCCACGGUUUCUGUGUCGUAGCUAACGCAUUAAGCGCCCCGCCUGGGGAGUACGGCCGCAAGGCUAAAACUCAAAGGAAUUGACGGGGGCCCGCACAAGCGGCGGAGCAUGCGGAUUAAUUCGAUGCAACGCGAAGAACCUUACCAAGGCUUGACAUACACCGGAAACGGCCAGAGAUGGUCGCCCCCUUGUG
rnacentral:rRNA from 1 species